UUAGAAAUGUAUGAGACACACUUAAUUCACUAUAUAAACUACACGUUCUUUCUUUGGUUUUUAAUAUGAAAAUUUUAAAACACUAUUAAAUAUUUAAGUUUUCUAAAAAACAAAAGAAAAAACAAAAAACACUAUUGAUCCAUUUAUAUCAAACAUGAUGAAAAAAUCCUGUCAACUUUCAUUCACCGUUCUUAUUGUCUUCACAGUUCUUCUGCUAGGAGUGAAAGGUUGGGAUUUUGCAAAUAAAUGUGGUGUUGUUUUAAGCUAUACUGGUUGUACGCCACAAAAUUGUAAGAGUUUGUGUUCCAAGAGUCAUUCACACGCACGCCCACAUUGUGUUGUUUCACCUGGUGGACCAUAUGUAGGGCAUAAGCAAUGUGCAUGCAGCUGGGAUUGCUAAUCAAUUAUAAUAACAGUAAAUUUCUAAUUAUAAUAAUAUUAAGAACUUAACAAAGAAAUAAUACAAUAUUUGAAGUGGACAUCUAGCCAAACAUAUGUAUUAGUGUUGAUGUCAAGUUGUAAUCUAAUAAAUUUGUAAUUAUGGUAAUAUAAGCUUUCAUGCAGGUUUUGACUA